rnacentral:rRNA from 1 species
GACGAACGCUGGCGGCGUGCUUAACACAUGCAAGUCGAACGGAAAGGCCUGCUUUCCCUUGUGGAUUGCGGGUACUCGAGUGGCGAACGGGUGAGUAACACGUGAGUGAUCUGCCCCCAACUUGGGUAUAAGCCUGGGAAACUGGGUCUAAUUCCCGAUAGGACUGCAGGGUGGUGCCUGUGGUGGAAAACGAUUUUCUAGUGGUUGGGGAUGAGCUCGCGGCCUAUCAGCUUGUUGGUGGGGUAAUGGCCUACCAAGGCGGCGACGGGUAGCCGGCCUGGGAGGGUGGACGGCCACAUUGGGACUGAGAUACGGCCCAGACUCCUACGGGAGGCAGCAGUGGGGAAUAUGGCACAAUGGGCGGAAGCCUGAUGCAGCGACGCCGCGUGGGGGAUGACGGCCUUCGGGUUGUAAACUCCUUUCGACCGCGAGGAAGCCACCUGGUUGGAAGGGUGGUGACGGUAGUGGUAGAAGAAGCACCGGCUAACUACGUG